rnacentral:rRNA from 1 species
UACGGAAGGCAGCAGUGGGGAAUAUUGCACAAUGGGCGAAAGCCUGAUGCAGCUAUGCCGCGUGUAUGAAGAAGGCCUUAGGGUUGUAAAGUACUUUCAUCGGGGAGGAAAAACAAACUAAUAAUUUUAUUUCUUGACGUUACCCGAAAAAGAAGCACCGGCUAACUCCGUGCCAGCAGCCGCGGUAAUACGGAGGGUGCUAGCGUUAAUCAGAAUUACUGGGCGUAAAGAGCACGUAGGUGGUUUUUUUAAGUCAGAUGUGAAAUCCCUGGGCUUAACCUAGGAACUGCAUUUUGAAACUGAAAUACUAGAGUAUCGUAGAGGGAGGUAGAAUUCUAGGUGUAGCGGUGAAAUGCGUAGAUAUCUGGAGGAAUACCUGUGGCGAAAGCGGCCUCCUAAACGAAUACUGACACUGAGGUGCGAAAGCGUGGGGAGCGAAACAGGGAUUAGAUACC